AGGGAAUCUUCCGCAAUGGACGAAAGUCUGACGGAGCAACGCCGCGUGAGUGAUGAAGGUUUUCGGAUCGUAAAGCUCUGUUGCCAGGGAAGAACGUCCUGUAGAGUAACUGCUACAGGAGUGACGGUACCUGAGAAGAGAGCCCCGGCUAACUACGUGCCAGCAGCCGCGGUACUACGUAGGGGGCAAGCGUUGUCCGGAAUUAUUGGGCGUAAAGCGCGCGCAGGCGGCUGUUUAAGUCUGGUGUUUAAUCCUGGGGCUCAACCCCGGGUCGCACUGGAAACUGGGCAGCUUGAGUGCAGAAGAGGAGAGUGGAAUUCCACGUGUAGCGGUGAAAUGCGUAGAGAUGUGGAGGAACACCAGUGGCGAAGGCGGCUCUCUGGUCUGUAACUGACGCUGAGGCGCGAAAGCGUGGGGAGCAAAC
rnacentral:rRNA from 1 species